GACGAACGCUGGCGGCGUGCUUAACACAUGCAAGUCGAACGGAAAGGCCCUGCUUUUGUGGGGUGCUCGAGUGGCGAACGGGUGAGUAACAAGUGAGUAACCUGCCCUUGACUUUGGGAUAACUUCAGGAAACUGGGGCUAAUACCGGAUAGGAGCUCCUGCUGCAUGGUGGGGGUUGGAAAGUUUCGGCGGUUGGGGAUGGACUCGCGGCUUAUCAGCUUGUUGGUGGGGUAGUGGCUUACCAAGGCUUUGACGGGUAGCCGGCCUGUGAGGGUGACCGGCCACAUUGGGACUGAGAUACGGCCCAGACUCCUACGGGAGGCAGCAGUGGGGAAUAUUGCACAAUGGGCGGAAGCCUGAUGCAGCAACGCCGCGUGCGGGAUGACGGCCUUCGGGUUGUAAACCGCUUUCGCCUGUAACGAAGCGUGAGUGACGGUAAUGGGUAAAGAAGCACCGGCUAACUACGUG
rnacentral:rRNA from 1 species